AAGACAUUUUAUUUUCUCCCUCACACGACUCCUUCUCUCAUCUUCUUCCCAGGCGAUUUCUGAAACUCUUCUUUGAACCUCUUCGUCCGUCAAUUUGAUAGGGUUUAUGCCUUAAUCAAACUGUUCUCAGGUAUUUAGUUAAUUCAGCUUCUAUGCUUUGCUUCGUGCCUCCGGCUGAAUAGUUGUAUCUGUCAAGGAGCACAGCCAUUGAAGCGGCGAUGUUAUCAUCAAGAUUUUCAUUUUUGGAGAUCGGCAUUUCCAACUUCGAUUCCCUUUGAUGAUGAGAAGAAGGUUCAAUUUCCAACGAUGACAGUGGCAACUUCGAUUCUCGACGUUGUUUUGUUCAUCUGGGUUUGCUGCUGAGAUGUUCCAUGACUUGCACGAAGAAGUAAUGGCGACUGCUUCUAGAAGCCACGGUCUUAUGGCUUGUGUACAACAGCUCGAAGCAGAAUUCCCUUUCGUAGAGAAGGCAUUACUGUCUAUGUUUUCUCUUUUGAAAACAUGAGAAAUAUCAAGUUCAAAGAGUUUAGACAGCAGUUUAGGCACAAUGGAAGGUUCUUCCUCGGUUCAAACAAAGUGAUGCAGGUUGCUCUCGGUCACACGGCUUCUGAUGAAAUCCGUCCUGGUAUCUUCAAAGUUUCCAAGUUUAAUAGAGAGUAGCUGCUCGUUCUGCCCUCCAUAGCUCCAUGGUUGAUGCUUGUAGAAAGCAUCUUUCACGAAGAGGUAAUUUCUGGCUAAGUGUUGUCUCCGAGUUGGUUGAUGCUUGUUAGUUUUUAAGCCAUUGUAUUAAGAACUGUAACUAUUGAGGCCUAUUUUCACAUUAAAGAAUGUUGGAGGAAGAAGAGGAUACUGUACAAGACUUAACAUUCUUUUUCCUUAAACAGAUUACGUAAAUUAGCAUUUUGGA